rnacentral:rRNA from 1 species
GACGAACGCUGGCGGCGUGCUUAACACAUGCAAGUCGAGCGGAAAGGCUCCCUUCGGGGAGUACUCGAGCGGCGAACGGGUGAGUAACACGUGGGUAACCCACCUCUCGCACCGGAAUACCCCGGGAACCCGGAUUAAUGCCGGAUAAUGUGCGGCGCUAUUGGGCGCCGUACCAAAGGUAGCUUUGGCCUCUGGCGAGAGACGGGCCCGCGGCCCAUUAGCUUGUUGGUGGGGGUAAUGGCCUACCAAGGCAACGANGGGUAGCUGGUCUGAGAGGAUGAUCAGCCACACUGGGACUGAGACACGGCCCAGACUCCUACGGGAGGCAGCAGUGGGGAAUCUUGCGCAACGGGCGGAAGCCUGACGCAGCAACGCCGCGUGC